rnacentral:rRNA from 1 species
CUACGUGCCAGCAGCCGCGGUCAUACGUAGGGUGCAAGCAUUAUCCGGAGUGACUGGGCGUAAAGAGUUGCGUAGGCGGUUUAAUAAGUGAAUAGUGAAACCUGGUGGCUCAACCAUACAGACUAUUAUUCAAACUGUUAAACUCGAGAAUGGUAGAGGUAACUGGAAUUUCUAGUGUAGGAGUGAAAUCCGUAGAUAUUAGAAGGAACACCGAUGGCGUAGGCAGGUUACUGGGCCAUUUCUGACGCUAAGGCACGAAAGCGUGGGGAGCGAACCGGAUUAGAUACCCGGGUAGUCCACGCCGUAAACGAUGGAUACUAGCUGUUGGAGGUAUCGACCCCUUCAGUAGCGAAGCUAACGCGUUAAGUAUCCCGCCUGUGGAGUACGGCCGCAAGGCUAAAACAUAAAGGAAUUGACGGGGGCCCGCACAAGCGGUGGAGUAUGU